GAAGAAUAAGUCACUGCUAACUUCGUGCCAGCAGCAGCGGUAAUACGAAGGUGGCGAGCGUUACCCGGAUUGAUUGGGCGUAAAGAGUUCGUAGACGGUUUAAAAAGUUCUUGGUCAAAUCUUGUGGCUCAACUUCAAGACUGCCAAGAAGACUUUUAGACUAGAGACUGGGAGAGGCAAGCGGAAUUGCCGGUGUAGUAGUAAAAUGCGUUGAUAUCGGCAGGAACACCAAAAGCGAAGGCAGCUUGCUAGUACAGUUCUGACGUUGAGGAACGAAAGCGUGGGUAGCGAAUGGGAUUAGAUACCCCAGUAGUCCACGCCGUAAACUAUGGGCACUAAGCAUUGGAAGUAUCGACCCUUUCAGUGCUGCUUAACUAAGCUAACGCCUUAAGUGCCCCGCCUGGGAAGUACGGCCGCAAGGCUAAAACUCAAAGGAAUUGACGGGAGCCCGCACAAGCGGUGGAGCAUGUGGUUUAAUUCGACAAUAAGCGAGGAACCUUACCCAGACUUGACAUAUAGCUGCACGCUCUAGGAAACUAGAGCUCCUUCGAGGGUGCUAUACAGGUGCUGCAUGGUUGUCGUCAGCUCGUGUCGUGAGAUGUUGGGUUAAGUCCCGCAACGAGCGCAACCCUUAUCAUUAGUUGCUACGCAAGGGCACUCUAAUGAGACUGCCGGUGACAAACCGGAGGAAGGUGGGGAUGACGUCAAGUCCUCAUGGCCCUUAUGGGUAGGGCUUCACACGUCAUACAAUGGUCGGUACAGAGGGUUGCCAAGCCGCGAGGUGGAGCCAAUCCCAGAAAGCCGAUCGUAGUCCGGAUUGUUCUCUGCAACUCGAGAGCAUGAAGUCGGAAUCGCUAGUAAUCGCGGAUCAGCACGCUGCGGUGAAUACGUUCCCGGGCCUUGUACACACCGCCCG
rnacentral:rRNA from 1 species